UAGAUAGAAGUGAACUUUUGUCAGAGUUUCCAAAGAGUUUAAUAUUUUUAGUCAAAUGUGCUAAUGUAAAGAGAAGAUUAGUGACACAUAAUGAAUAAAAUGUGUUCUUCCACAUGGAAAUAGGAAUAUAGUUAAUGUCCUGCAGGUGAUUGGGCCCAUCGCAAUUUUACUGAAGAUUCAAGUUUGACUGACCUUUGGUAGGGCAAUUAACCUCCUGAAAUUAAAAGCCCCAUCUGAAUUAGUCUGUCUAAUUUAAAUGGAAA
ensembl:misc_RNA predicted gene, 27588